rnacentral:sRNA from 1 species
GCUGGGCGCGGUGGCGCACGCCUGUAAUCCCAGCGGCUCAGGAGGCUGAGGCAGGAGGAUCAAGAGUUCAAAGUCAGCCUCAGCAAAAGCAAGGCACUAAGCAACUCAGUGAGACCCUGUCUCCA